rnacentral:rRNA from 1 species
AUGGUCUUAGCUUGCUAAGGCCGAUGGCGACCGGCGCACGGGUGAGUAACGCGUAUCCAACCUGCCUUACACUCUUGGACAGCCUUCUGAAAGGGAGAUUAAUACAAGAUGUUAUCAUGAGUAAGCAUUUUCGCAUGAUUAAAGGUUUACCGGUGUAAGAUGGGGAUGCGUUCCAUUAGAUAGUAGGCGGGGUAACGGCCCACCAAAGCGACGAUCAGUAGCCGGCCUGAGAGGGUGAACGGCCACAUUGGGACUGAGACACGGCCCAAACUCC